rnacentral:rRNA from 1 species
GUGGGGAAUAUUGGACAAUGGGCGAAAGCCUGAUCCAGCCAUGCCGCGUGUGUGAAGAAGGUCUUCGGAUUGUAAAGCACUUUAAGUUGGGAGGAAGGGCAUUAACCUAAUACGUUAGUGUUUUGACGUUACCGACAGAAUAAGCACCGGCUAACUUCGUGCCAGCAGCCGCGGUAAUACGAAGGGUGCAAGCGUUAAUCGGAAUUACUGGGCGUAAAGCGCGCGUAGGUGGUUCGGUAAGUUGGAUGUGAAAGCCCCGGGCUCAACCUGGGAACUGCAUCCAAAACUGGCGAGCUAGAGUACGGUAGAGGGUGGUGGAAUUUCCUGUGUAGCGGUGAAAUGCGUAGAUAUAGGAAGGAACACCAGUGGCGAAGGCGACCACCUGGACUGAUACUGACACUGAGGUGCGAAAGCGUGGGGAGCAAACAGGAUUAGAUACCCCUGUAGUCC